rnacentral:rRNA from 1 species
UACGUAGGGCGCAAGCGUUGUCCGGAAUUAUUGGGCGUAAAGAGCUCGUAGGUGGCUUGUCACGUCGGGUGUGAAAGCUUGGGGCUUAACUCCAGGUCUGCAUUCGAUACGGGCUGGCUAGAGGUAGGUAGGGGAGUGUGGAAUUCCUGGUGUAGCGGUGAAAUGCGCAGAUAUCAGGAGGAACACCAGUAGCGAAGGCGGCACUCUGGGCCGGUACUGACGCUGAGGAGCGAAAGCGUGGGGAGCGAACAGG